GACGAACGCUGGCGGCGUGCUUAACACAUGCAAGUCGAACGAAGUGGCGAACGGGUGAGUAACGCGUAAUCAACCUGCCCUUCAGAGGGGGACAACAGUUGGAAACGACUGCUAAUACCGCAUACUGAAGGAGGGGAUUGCGUCUGAUUAGCUAGUUGGAGGGGUAACGGCCCACAAAGGCGAUGAUCAGUAGCCUGUCUGGGAGGAUGAACGGCCACAUUGGGACUGAGACACGGCCCAGACUCGUAAGGGAGGCAGGAGUGGGGAAUCUGCCGGAAUGGGCGAAAGUCUGACGGAGCAACGCCGCGUAAGUGAGGACGGCCUUCGGGUGGUAAAGCUCUGUUAAUCGGGACGCGGUACCGGAAUAGAAAGCCACGGCUAACUACGUGCCAGCAGCCGCGGUAAUUC
rnacentral:rRNA from 1 species